UCCGGUUUAACACCGGCAGUCUCGUUAGAGUGCCCGCCAUGACGCGCUGGCAACUAACGAUAGGGGUUUCGCUCGUUAUGGGACUUAACCCGACACUUCACAGCACGAGCUGACGACAGCCAUGCAGCACCUGUGAUAGUUCCGGAUUGGAUACCGGUCGUUCGUGUUUCCACGUUCUACUUCUACCAUGUCAAGUCCAGGAUAAGGUUCUUCGCGUUGCUUCGAAUUGAGCCACAUGCUCCACCGCUUGUGUGAGCCCCCGUCAAUUCCUUUGAGUUUUAGCCUUGCGACCGUACUUCCCAGGUGGCAGACUUAACAAUUUCGCUACGACCGCAACGGGGUGUAACCCGCUGCAAUCUAGUCUGCAUCGUUUAGGGCGUGGACUAC
rnacentral:misc_RNA from 1 species